rnacentral:rRNA from 1 species
GACAGAGGGUGCAAACGUUGUUCGGAAUUACUGGGCGUAAAGGGCGCGUAGGCGGCUCGGCACGUCCGUUGUGAAAUCGCCCGGCUCAACUGGGCGGGGUCAGCGGAUACGGUCGAGCUUGAGCAAGCUAGGGGGCAAUGGAAUUCCCGGUGUAGUGGUGGAAUGCGUAGAUAUCGGGAGGAACACCAGUGGCGAAGGCGGUUGCCUGGAGCUUUGCUGACGCUGAGGCGCGAAAGCGUGGGGAGCGAUCCGG